rnacentral:misc_RNA from 1 species
AAGAAAGAAAAAUAAAUAAAUAAACACAAUCUGUUACAGAUUAUUUGAAUGUAGCUUUGGCCAUGGAUGAAGAAGAAUGUAAAAUUGAAGAUCCAGAAAAGCUUGUAUUAUUGCUUUGAGGAUAUGAGUGCUGCAUCAUCACUGAUGGGGUAUUGUUGCUAUUUUCCUGUCGAUUGUUAGCUGAAGAUCCAUUGAGAAGCAGGUCUACUUUCAGGCACUCCUCCCUAUUCUCCUGCCUAAUUUCCUUGAGCAUUGCUGACACGUCUUUCAUUGUAGGCCUAUCAUCAGGACAAGGAUUUACGCAUAGCAAAGCCACUCCUAAGAUCUGCAACAUUUCCUCAAUCUCAGAUUCUGGCCGAGCCCGUAAACUGGGAUCUACCACUUCAAUCCCUCGUCUCCUUUGCCUUACCCAAUCUACAAUGUGAAGCCCAUCUGGUAUGGUUGGAUCAAUUGGUUGCUUCCCAGUUAGUACUUCUAACACCACAACACCAUAGCUAUACACAUCGCUCUUUUCAGUUAUUUUCAUCAUAUAUCCAUACUCUGGAGCGAUGUAACCAUAGGAUCCAGCAAUAGUGGCGGAAGAGCGAGCAAAAUCUCCAUCAUCAACAAGCUUGGCAAGUCCGAAAUCAGCAAUGUGCGGUUCAAAUUCAGGGCCAAUGAGAAUGUUGUUGGCUUUGAUGUCCCUGUGAACAAUUGGAGGAACACAGUCAUGGUGCAAGUAAGCAAGACCUUGUGCUGCCUCCAAGAUGAUUCGGUAUCUCACUUCCCACUCCAAGCAACCCCCACUUUUCUCAUGAAGGAGACUGCCUAAACUCCCAUUGGGCAUAUAGUCAUACAUCAGCAAUCUUGUGUUUCGAUUCCAACAGCAACCCAAGAAUCUGACAAUGUUCUUGUGACGGAUAGAACCAAGGGUUUUUACCUCUGCUGAAAAGGAAUCGGGAACUCCCCCAAUUCCUAACCUGCCAUUUUGACUAUGAUGUGCUGUAGCUAUUGUUGCUGGCCACAGCUUUUUCACUGCAAUGACUUCCCCAUUUUCUAGUUCUGCCCGAUACACAAUUCCUGAACAUCCCUUUCCAAUUACGUUGGCUUCCAGUAGGCAUUUCAGAACUUGUUCUACUGAAAAAUUUAGCUUCUGAAAUGGAAUGAAAUGCCA